rnacentral:rRNA from 1 species
UGGGGAAUUUUGGACAAUGGGCGAAAGCCUGAUCCAGCAAUGCCGCGUGUGUGAAGAAGGCCUUCGGGUUGUAAAGCACUUUUGUCCGGAAAGAAAUCCUUGGCUCUAAUACAGUCGGGGGAUGACGGUACCGGAAGAAUAAGCACCGGCUAACUACGUGCCAGCAGCCGCGGUAAUACGUAGGGUGCAAGCGUUAAUCGGAAUUACUGGGCGUAAAGCGUGCGCAGGCGGUUUGCUAAGACCGAUGUGAAAUCCCCGGGCUCAACCUGGGAACUGCAUUGGUGACUGGCAGGCUAGAGUAUGGCAGAGGGGGGUAGAAUUCCACGUGUAGCAGUGAAAUGCGUAGAGAUGUGGAGGAAUACCGAUGGCGAAGGCAGCCCCCUGGGCCAAUACUGACGCUCAUGCACGAAAGCGUGGGGAGCAAACGGGAUUAGAUACCCUGGUAGUCCACGCCCUAAACGAUGUCAACUAGUUGUUGGGGAUUCAUUUUCCUUAGUAACGUAGCUAACGCGUGAAGUUGACCGCCUGGGGGAGUACGGUCGCAAGAUUAAAACUCAAAUG